rnacentral:rRNA from 1 species
UACAGAGGGUGCAAGCGUUAAUCGGAAUUACUGGGCGUAAAGCGUGCGUAGACGGUUAUGUAAGUCGGCUGUGAAAGCCCGGGGCUCAACCCCGGAGGGUCAGCCGAUACUGGCAGACUAGAGUACGGAAGAGGUAGCUGGAAUUCCCGGUGUAGCGGUGAAAUGUGUAGAUAUCGGGAGGAACACCUGAGGCGAAGGCGGGCUACUGGGCCGAUACUGACGCUGAGGUGCGAAAGCGUGGGGAGCAAACAGG